ensembl:lncRNA
UACUUUAUUGUAAGAAUAUAGUAAGUAAUACAGAUAAUAUACACAUAUGUUAACCUACUGUUUACAUUAUCUACAAGGCUUCCAGUCAACAGUAGCCUAUUAGUAAUUGGGUUUCUCAGGAGUCAAAAGUUAUACAUGGAUUUUUGAUUGUGUGGGGGUCAGCAUCCUGAACCUCUGCAUUGUUCAAGGGUCAACUGUAAUUGGACAACUUGGCUAGACAUGAUUUACGUUGGGAAAUAAAAGAGGAAAUUGAUUUUCGGCCUUGGGCACAAUGUUGCCUCUAACUUAAUUUAGUUAAUAUACUCAUCUGGCCUAUUUCAGAGCAUUCUGAAGGCAGAAGCAACAUUAUUCACCGGCAGUAUAUCAGGAAGAGCAUGAUUUGUGUUGGAGGAACAGCCUUAUGAAAGCAGUGUGUGGCACAACACCUCUACCUAUGCGUGGCUCUUCAGUGAACAGGCCAAUCUUUCCCAGAAGUCCCCAGGAAGACUUGCCUUUAUGCCUUGCUGACCAGAAAUGUAGAAGGUGACCUUUUCAUUUCUACCCCAUUCACUCACAAGGAGAUAAGGAGCACGAUGCAGGGUGCACUGCAAGGGCAAACAUGGAGUUCUAUUAGGAAGGGGAAGAGAGA